AACGUAGGUUCCGAGCGUUAUCCGGAUUUACUGGGCGUAAAGCGCGUUCAGGCGGUUUGGCAAGUCGGGCAUGAAAUCUCUCGGCUCAACCGGGAGAGGUUGUCCGAUACUGCUGGACUUGAGGGCAGUAGAGGGUGGUGGAAUUCCGGGUGUAGUGGUGAAAUGCGUAGAUAUCCGGAGGAACACCAGUGGCGAAAGCGGCUUGCUGGGCCUUACCUGACGCUGAGGAGCGAAAGCGUGGGGAGCGAACAGG
rnacentral:rRNA from 1 species